rnacentral:rRNA from 1 species
GACGAACGCUGGCGGCGUGCUUAACACAUGCAAGUCGAACGGAAAGGCCCUGCUUUUGUGGGGCGCUCGAGUGGCGCACGGGUGAGUAAGACGUGAGUAACCUGCCCUUGACUUUGGGAUAACUUCAGGAAACUGGGGCUAAUACCGGAUAGGAUCUCCUGCUGCAUGGUGGUGGUUGGAAAGUUUCGGCGGUUGGGGCUGGACUCGCGGCUUAUCAGCUUGUUGGUGGGGUAGUGGCUUACCAAGGUUUUGACGGGUAGCCGGCCUGAGAGGGUGACCGGCCACAUUGGGACUGAGAUACGGCCCAGUCUGCUACGGGAGGCAGUAGUGGGGAAUAUUGCACAAUGGGCGGAAGCGUGAUGCAGCAAUGCCGCGUGCGGGAUAACGGCCUUCGAGUUGUAAACCGCUUUCGCCUGUGACGAGGAGUGAGUGACGGUAAUGAGUCAAGAAGCAACGGCUAACUACGUG